rnacentral:rRNA from 1 species
GGCUUUGUUUGCGCAGGAUAGGUGGGAGGCGAUGAAAAUUUUCUUGCGGGAAGAUUGGAGCCGUUGGUGAGAUACCACUCUAACAAUGCUAGGAUUCUAACCCUACACCGUUAUCCGGUUAGGGGACAGUUUCAGGUGGUCAGUUUGACUGGGGCGGUCGCCUCCCAAAAGGUAACGGAGGCGUGCAAAGGUUUCCUCAGGCUGGUCGGAAAUCAGUCGUAGAGUGUAAAGGCAUAAGGAAGCUUGAUUGUGAGACCUACAAGUCGAACAAAGACGAAAGUCGGCCUUAGUGAUCCGACGGUUCCGAGUGGAAGGGCCGUCACUCAACGGAUAAAAGUUACUCUAGGGAUAACAGGCUGA